UAAAUACUCCCUCCGUCCGGAAAUAUUUGUCGGGGAAAUGGAUGUAUCUAGACAUAUGUUAGUUCUAGAUGCAUCCAUUUUUAUCAAUUUCUUCGACAAGUAAUUCCGGACGGAGGGAGUAAUAU
rnacentral:pre_miRNA from 1 species